GUCAACUGUGAUGAGGAAGAAUAAAAACUUUAAAGAGAAAUAUGUCAAAUGAAACGAAAAAUGAAUAGUAAAACCACGAAACUAAAUGAACCGAAGUGUAAUAUAUAGUGCUAUAAAAUGGACUUCGAAUAGAAACAGUGAAGAUAAAAAUUUAUCUGUAGGCCUUAUACAAUAUAUAUUCUAUUGUCACGUUUUCCAACACGAUCGCCAUUCGCCACAUGUUACAUAUAGGCCAUCCAUAUAUGGAGAAUUGAUUUUCUACCGUACCACAUUAUUUAAUCACAGAACAAUAUUUGAAAAGAAAACGACUUCUCGG
rnacentral:lncRNA from 1 species